UACGGGAGGCAGCAGUGGGGAAUAUUGGACAAUGGGCGCAAGCCUGAUCCAGCCAUGCCGCGUGAGUGAUGAAGGCCUUAGGGUUGUAAAGCUCUUUCAGUGGGGACGAUAAUGACGGUACCCGCAGAAGAAGCCCCGGCUAACUUCGUGCCAGCAGCCGCGGUAAUACGAAGGGGGCUAGCGUUGUUCGGAAUCACUGGGCGUAAAGGGCGCGUAGGCGGCUUUGUAAGUCGGGGGUGAAAGCCUGUGGCUCAACCACAGAAUUGCCUUCGAUACUGCAUGGCUUGAGACCGGAAGAGGUUAGUGGAACUGCGAGUGUAGAGGUGAAAUUCGUAGAUAUUCGCAAGAACACCAGUGGCGAAGGCGGCUGACUGGUCCGGUUCUGACGCUGAGGCGCGAAAGCGUGGGGAGCAAACAGGAUUAGAUACCCUGGUAG
rnacentral:rRNA from 1 species